rnacentral:tRNA from 1 species
GCAGGUGUGGCGUAAUUGGUAGGCGCGAGGGACUUAAAAUCCCUUGAGGUAUCUCGUGCGGGUUCGAGUCCCGCCACCUGCACCA